rnacentral:lncRNA from 1 species
CGGUUCAUUAGACCGGAUUGGAGGCUUAGGUGCCCUCUUCAAACCAGUUAGGAGCUGUCUAGAAAUUUAAGAAAAACAUUAGAAAUUGAGGUGUAAUAUUUAGUUGCAUGUUUGAUUGUGAAUAGAUUUUUGUUUUAGGGUGUAGUUUUAGGGUAUCUUUAGUUGGUACUUAUAUUUAUAUUUAUUUUUUUUAAAAAAAA